rnacentral:piRNA from 1 species
UGGGUCAGAACUGGAAACUGGUUCUUAUG